CAGUAUUCUUGCCUGGAGAAUUCCACGAACAGAGAAGCCUGGCAGGCUAUACAGUCCAGGGGAUGGCAGAGUCAGACACGACUGAGCGACUAACACUUCCUGAAAGGAUUAGAAUACACUUAAAGCUUAGCUCUUUCUCGCGGGUCUCUCCCUUUGGCCUCCGCUGCCCUUUCCCCUCUAAGCCUUUAACUGAACCCCACGGGACAGAGGACCUCCUGCCUGAAUUGCUGGCGGAGGCAGGGCGCGAACCCGCGGAGAUCUAGGCUGUCCUCGGGCUCCCUGCGUUCCCCACCUCCCCCCACCCCCUCCCCAGGCGGCCGGCCCGGCUUCUGGGCCACCCAGCCGUCGAACUUUCCAGCGGCUUUCAACCCUGCCCUAACUUAAAUGAACAAGACAAAUUGUAGACGGCCGGGCUGACAAGUCCCUGCCAACAAGCGGAGGCUCAGAGGGCACUCAGCACCAGCGCUCCGACCUCCCCGACGGCGGCCGGGAAGCUGGGUUUUGAGAAGAGAUGACAACUGCUUCUGAAUUGUUGGGAUAAAAGGGGAGGUGUCCCGAGCUUUAAAAGCAGUGUUCUCCCCCACCCCCUUCUUUUUAAAAAGCUACUUAGCCUUUCCGAGUGACGGGGGCCGCUGGGAAGUCUCGCAUAUUUUAAAGUGUAACCCAAGCUUUCGCGGUUUCAGCUUCAUUUAAAACAUGCAAGUUCCUAGAAACUGACAAACCUGGAAAAAGAAAAAGAAAAAAAAAAAAAAAAAAAACUUUCGAAGCGUUCUAGUCGGAUAAACCGGUUGGGAGUCACUUUGAGGCGAUAAAACUCACAGUGAUGGGGUGAUGGGUAUUGGUGGAGGCAGUGACCUGUUGGAUUGGGUUUCCAGGUUCAAGGUGGCCACCGGGCCUUUGCCAACCACCUAGGCGCAGAGCAGGGAAGUGGUACCCACAAGGCAAUAGCUUUAAUGCCUUCCUUUUUGUGACCUCUUGCUCCUCCGCCCAGACCCUCACUGCACGCUUUGUCAGGUAGGCGCCAUCACCCUUGCUGAGGCAGCCCCAUCAUUCACACUCGACUGAAGGAAAUAAAAUCGGCUUUGGCUUUUUAAUUCCUUUUGAAGAUUUCUCCACCUGAUUUCUACCUCCUUUGGGCUCCUCGCUUGAUUGGGGGAGGGGUUAUUUAGGGACUUUUUGACAAACAGAAUAAGUUGAGGUGCUAAUUGUAAACACCCGGUUGCUCUCCUUGAAUGUAUUUAUUAUCAUACAUGAGGACUUGGAGACUCAUGGCCUAUUACUCAUUUCAAGCCUCUAGGCAAAGAAUUCUCCUACUGAGAUCGACCAGUAAAACCAGAUUUCUUAGGGGAAAUUACAAGGACGUCUUCAGACUCUCUUUGUGGAACGAUAUUACUGGGUUGUCAAUUUCACUCGAGCACCCUCCUCCCUACACAUCUCAUCCCACCGUUUUACUUCGGGAUCACCCCAAGGUAAUUAGCCACUCGCAGAAAGCUUGAAAUCCCGAAAGGAGAGGAGCAGCCUAGGAUAACAGAGACCAAGUGAGGCUUUUCAGAUCGGAUGCUCCACGGGGGCCAUCUUUUCAUAAGGUCAGGAGUGGAGAGAAGUAUGUUUGCAGAAGAGGAAAUACGUUUAAAAGGGCUCCCAGGCGGUGGGGGGGCUUCCUACAAUGUCAUCACCGCGACUCCGCAGGGAGCCCAGCCUGUCCUCCGUGGAGUCCCGCACAGGUACUGCCACUGAAUUCAGGAGUUCAUUACGGGCACAUGGGAACAAGAACACAAGCACACACGGUUGGGAGCGGACCUCGGUUUAUGUGUCAUCAAAUGCUAACCCCCGAGGUUGAGAGUAGUGUCCGACAGACUAGAGAUCUACGCGGACAUCAGAAGUCGGGGAAAAUUUGGUGGGGUUAUAAUCGCGCACAAACAGGCGAAUUCUGCCCAGCAAACGUUUGCGCACCCGGUCUCCCACGCUCUCUCCCACUUGGCUGAAGUUUGGGUUAUGGUAUGUUUUGAACUGGACCAUCUAAAUGGCCUCGACGGCCUCCCUCUGCCUGCAUGGACCCGCUCGUUGACGAGGACUGACAGCGUACACAGACCCCGGGAAGGACACAGAAGACCACUCAGGGAAGCACAGGAAAAGUUCAACACCUGGGGAGGGUACUGCCAGGGCUGAUGUGCCACGAGACGAGCUGAACCGCGGAGGAGGUGAAGGACCGCAGACCUCAGCCUGCUCCAACCCUAACUCCUCCUCACAUUCGCCCCCACCCCCCA